rnacentral:ncRNA from 1 species
GGGCGAGUAUUCGCGCAAGCGAGAAAGUUAAAAGAAUUGACGGAAGGGCACCACCAGGCGUGGAGCUUGCGGCUUAAUUUGACUCAACACGGGGAAACUCACUAGUUUAAGACAAGAGUAGGAUUGACAGAUUAAUAGCUCUUUCUUGAUUUCUUGGAUGGUGAUGCAUGGCCGUUUUUAGUUCGUGAAUAUGAUUUGUCUGGUUAAUUCCGAUAACGAACGAGAUCUUAACCUGCUAAUUAGCGGCGAGUACACUAUAUUCUUAUUUGAAAUUGAACAUAGGUAACUAUACAUUUAUUCAGUAAUCAAAUUAGGAUAUUUUUAUUAAAAUAUCCUUUUCACUGUUCUACUAAUAAUUUGUUUUUUACUCUAUUUCUCUCUUCUUUUAAGAAUGUACUUGCUUGAUUGAAAAGCUUCUUAGAGGAACAUUGUGUGUCUAACACAAGGAAGUUUAAGGCAACAACAGGUCUGUGAUGUCCUUAGAUGAACUAGGCUGCACGCGUGCUACACUGAUAUAUAUAACGAGUUUUUAAAAAUAUGCUUAUAUUUGUAUCUUUGAUGCUUAUAUUUUGCAUACUUUUCCUCCGCCGAAAGGCGUAGGUAAUCUUUAUCAAUAUAUAUCGUGAUGGGGAUAGAUUAUUGCAAUUAUUAAUCUUGAACGAGGAAUGCCUAGUAAGCAUGAUUCAUCAGAUUGUGCUGACUACGUCCCUGCCCUUUGUACACACCGCCCGUCGCUCCUACCGAUUGAAAGAUAUGAUGAAUUGUUUGGACAAGAAAAAUUGAAUUAUAUUCUUUUUUUUCUGGAAAAACCGUAAAUCCUAUCUUUUAAAGGAAGGAGAAGUCGUAACAAGGUUUCCGUAGGUGAACCUGCGGAAG